rnacentral:rRNA from 1 species
UACGUAGGGGGCGAGCGUUGUCCGGAUUUAUUGGGCGUAAAGCGCGCGCAGGCGGUGCGGUAAGUCUGUCGUGAAAUCUCCCGGCUCAACUGGGAGGGUGCGGUGGAGACUGCCGGACUGGAGGCACUCAGAGGCCGGUGGAAUUCCCGGUGUAGUGGUGAAAUGCGUAGAGAUCGGGAGGAACACCAGUGGCGAAGGCGGCCGGCUGGGGGUGACCUGACGCUGAGGCGCGAAAGCGUGGGGAGCGAACCGG